AGAUGGAUCAGCUAUGUCUGUUUGUGAGACACUUAAAGUUUUGCUUAAGGGUGUUGGGGAACCCUGGGUCUUAUAAACAAAAUAUACGUGUGUUUACAAUGUACUUCUGAUACUGGAUACCAUUAACUUAAAGUUACAUGCUGUUAUAGCAAUUUUAAUAAUGUGCUAAGUUGUGUUUCCUUGCCUUUCCUCGUCACUACGUUGCCUUCACAUAGUUUGUGCUGUCUAGACACAUGUGUGGCAAGUCAUUUUUUACUUGCAUUUCAUUUUAGUUAGUAACGUCUCUCUUUCUUUUGCUGUUCUACAGACAGGUCAUUGCUUCAGCUGUCCAACAUCCAGUUUGUGGUGCUGCACAACAAACCCCACUUUUUAGUGGAUAUAUUCAAGCGAACCCAAAGGCUCUUUUAAGAGCCAUCCACAUUGCACAGGUAAGUCAAUUUUGUGUCAUUUUGAAUCAAGUAAUUCCUUAGUAGUUUUUGAAACACCUGUUCAUUUACAAUUAAUUUAGUACAUAACUGACUGCUUUACAAUUAUAUUCCAAUAACGGGGACAUUUUACCCAAGGAUUGUAUUGUUUAUUAGUGCUAAGUAGGGGUGUAACGGUACGCAAGAUUUAUCUUGGAUUUUUUUUAAGUCACAGUAUUGAAUUGGUUAUGUACCACCUCUGCAUAAAAAUAAUAUUACUGCUCUAUGUGUAACUGCAUAGCAAGCAACAUGAUGAUAUACUUAUUAUACACUCAUAUUAAGAUGAGUGAGUUGCAUACAUUGCCAUCUUUUAUCUUUUGCAUGUUUCUUCUAAUCUUUGCUUGUGUCGCCAAUGUAAGCUGUGACUUAAACUAAUGAACCCCUCCACAGCCUUUCUCUGUCCCGACAAGAUUAACUGAUCACAUUGUGACCAUGAUAUGAUUGACGUGAGGUGCAGAUGAAAAAUCUGAUCACACAUUCCGUUAUUCUCGCUGUCACAGAAAGCGCUGCUCAUGAUUGCAUAGCAACGAAACGCGCGCAACCUCUCACGCACUUUUGAAAGAACAAAACAGUGCGUUAACAUGCAUUUAACACACGCUUUUAGACGGGACACGUAAGCGGCCCCGUAAACGUUUGCAUCAAUAAUCAAACGAAUAUACAGCUAAUUAAAUAAAAACAUGUUAUGUUAUAUUUUUUACAGAAAAAUGAUCACAGUAAUUUCAGUUGUUUGUUGCGGUGACGACAAAAAUGACAAUAAAUUAUUCUCUUCUGUAAAAUAUCAGAUUAGGUUAUGUUUAAGUUGUGUGACUGUGCUGAAAAACAAACAUCACGCAACAACAAUUACACAAUAAUACUUCAAAUCAAUUACAAGUUUAAAAUGUAAACACAGAUUCUGUAUUUAUUUAUACUCUCAUGGUGCAAAAAUAGUGCAAACAGGAAAAGUAACAAUGUCUUUUAGAUGUGUUUCAAAAUUACAACAGAGCUGCAAACCUGAUAAAGUAACAAACAUGUUAAAGUAACCUGAUAAAGUAAAGAAGUUCAGUGUGAAACAGUCAAUAGUCCCUUGCACACAAACAAUCUUUACUGGUAAUUUACUGGCAAAUUGCAGUUAACAGGUCAUGUGUCAACAAAACCUUUCUGGUAAAUCAGUACUCCAAAUUUACCAGUAAGACAGGUUGUAAGAUUACCAGUAAUUUAUCAGUAAGUGCUAUUUGUGAACGAAAAAUAUAGGAUUACCGGCAUAUAGAACAGACGACAUCAGACAGCGCUGACAGCUUCGGCCCAAUCAGAACGUUUUUUUGUUUUUUUUAUAGAUGACACCUUUAUCCCCGCACUGUUUACAGACGUUUCCACACAUGUGCUGCUUAAAAGUCGAGCAUGCCUUAAGUUAACAUCCACAUUUCUUCACCAAAGUUGUUUCAAACAGCUUACCAUCUAUUUGCCAAAUUGCCGACGUCCUUAGCACACCCUCUGUGAUUUGCAGACGGCCCCUAAAGCAGCCUAGGCGGACCGUGGAUAUGCAGCGAAUAUCAAACCUAAAACUAACUUUACCUCACUCCUCUAUGAAGCCUAAUGUGCAAAAGCAGGUUCAGUUUGACGCCGCCUAACGCAAUGUUGUUUGGGCACGAGCAACUUUGUGACCGUCAGAGUUUGCCACAGAUGUGAAAACAACAAAAUACGGAUCGUGGAUAUUAAGUCAUAACCCGCCAUUGUUUACAAAUACGACACUGAGCUCACCGCCCGCUCGCCACAGGUAACUUCCGCUUUUUCUCAGAGUUUACUGGUAUUUUGAUAUGUGUGAAUGAUGUCUUACUAGUAAAAAGACGGAACGUCACUGCAUGUGUGAACAGCACAUUUUUGUAUUUACUGGUAAAUUCAUUCUGGUAAAUUCAUGGUAAUAACAACAAGCACCUCCGCCUUCCGCCAUGUUUGUUUUCACUCCGCAACGUGAACAGUGAAUUGGGCACGCACAAACUACCACAUCAACUAGAUUUAUCGUUGUUAUUGUGAGGCGUCAGAUUUUUGUCGCAAGGAUAAAUUUUGGCGCCCCAGCAUUCGGCCAUUCUGUGCACAUGUGCACCGUGCCGAAAGCCCAGUACCGAAACGGUCAGGUACGAAUACACGGACCGUUAAACCCCUAGUCCUAAGCUCAAGAGCUCCAGGUGAUGCGCGCAUUAUCUUUCUUUAUAUGCAGAUAUAUUAACUUUAACAACAUCAUCACUUACGCAUUCAGCAGUUUAGGUAGAAUUGCACAUAAAGACUGCACGUCAUGUCUUAAGCAAUUCAUAAUAAACCUAUUGCAUAGCCUUUUAUUCACUAUCUUAUAAUACAGUAACACAUUUAGGAAGAAAGACGACAAAGAGCUGCAGGUGUAAAGUGUGUGAUUAGGUGAAGAGAGUUCAGAAAUUGUUUGCGAUACACAGCCCUAAUUGAUAUGACUAGUUUGGCAAUGCUGUGUAUGACUUGGGGGAUAGCAGAAACACAAAAGGUUGAUGACUUUUGUAUAACUUUAAUCAUACCUUGUCUGAACUUUAAACCAAAAUUUGUCUUUCUGUUCUUCUUUUAGGACAUUUUCUUAUUGGACACCUUAUUCAUUAUUACGUACAAAAACGCUGAAAACGUACAAAAACGCUGAAAACGUACAAAAACGCUGAAAACGUACAAAAACGCUUCUUGUGAUUCUGAAAAACGCUUCUUGUGAUUCUGAAAACCCCCUUCCUGUGAGCCUGAAAAUCUUUUUCCUGUGAACCCAACUACUAAAACCAAGUGAACAUUGACAUCAGUUUGUGAACUACAACUACUGCAAGAGAAAAGGAGCUCCAAAACAUCUCUUCCAGUACACCUUGCUGCCUGUUGUCUUCAAGAAGGACCACUGAUUCAAGCUGAGCUUUUGAAGCCUACUGUUUAACGUUACAUUAGUAAAUUUUUUGUGGUGUUGUUUAUCAUACAGGUGUAUUUUAUUUAAAUAGAUUUUAUAAGGUACAAAACACAUACUGUACAGUAGACGUUUAAGUACAUUUGGGUGACAUUUUAUUUAUUAUAAACAUUACAUCUGCGUUACUUAUUACAUUAGUCUGAGUUAUCUGUGUUAUUAAAUCUGUGCCAGUAUUACAUUAGUCUGAGUUAUACCAUCUGUUUUACAUUAAUCUGUGUGAAGUAUUACAUUCGUUUGAGUUAUUACACCUGUGUUAAGUAUUACAUUAGUCUUGAGUUAUUUAAUCUGUGCUAGUAUUACAUUAGUCUGGGUUAUUAGGGGUCAAGCACCGAAGGUGCUGAGACACCUAUUGUAAUUGUUAGUAUUAUUAUUAUUAUUAUUAUUCUGCUUCUUCUUCUUCUUCUUAGCCAUAGGCGUCUAUGGCAGCCCUAUGAACCGUACAUAGGAAAUGAUGAAAUUUGGCACAGUUGUAGUGGUGGUCUUAAAAAGUCAUGUGACCAAAAAUGGGGUCUCUAGUACUAACUCUAUAGCGCCACCAGCAGUUCAAAAAUUCAAUGUUCAAAGGGUUAUAACUUCUGAUCCGCUUGAUCUAUGAAAAUUCUACUUAGUACACGUGAUUGCUCUCCUCAUGCUUGUUGAUUUUAAUACCUUACAGUAAAACUCCACCCAUUACAGUAGCGGCCAUUUUGAAAUGUACAGUAUUCCAUUUUUUCGCUACUCCUCCUUCAAAUGUUGU